AAGUCUGAUGGAGAACGCCGCGUGAGUGAAGAAGGGUUUCGGCUCGUAAAGCUCUGUUGGUAGUGAAGAAAGAUAGAGGUAGUAACUGGCCUUUAUUUGACGGUAAUUACUUAGAAAGUCACGGCUAACUACGUGCCAGCAGCCGCGGUAAUACGUAGGUGGCAAGCGUUGUCCGGAUUUAUUGGGCGUAAAGCGAGUGCAGGCGGUUCAAUAAGUCUGAUGUGAAAGCCUUCGGCUCAACCGGAGAAUUGCAUCAGAAACUGUUGAACUUGAGUGCAGAAGAGGAGAGUGGAACUCCAUAUGUAGCGGUGGAAUGCGUAGAUAUAUGGAAGAACACCAGUGGCGAAGGCGGCUCUCUGGUCUGCAACUGACGCUGAGGCUCGAAAGCAUGGGUAGCGAACAGGAUUAGAUACCCUGGUAGUCCAUGCCGUAAACGAUGAGUGCUAAGUGUUGGGAGGUUUCCGCCUCUCAGUGCUGCAGCUAACGCAUUAAGCACUCCGCCUGGGGAGUACGACCGCAAGGUUGAAACUCAAAGGAAUUGACGGGGGCCCGCACAAGCGGUGGAGCAUGUGGUUUAAUUCGAAGCAACGCGAAGAACCUUACCAGGUCUUGACAUCCAGUGCAAACC
rnacentral:rRNA from 1 species